rnacentral:rRNA from 1 species
UUUCCAGACUCCUACGGGAGGCAGCAGUGGGGAAUAUUGCACAAUGGGGGAAACCCUGAUGCAGCGACGCCGCGUGAAGGAAGAAGUCUUUCGGUAUGUAAACUUCUAUCAGCAGGGAAGAAAAUGACGGUACCUGACUAAGAAGCCCUGGCUAACUACGUGCCAGCAGCCGCGGUAAUACGUAGGGGGCAAGCGUUAUCCGGAUUUACUGGGUGUAAAGGGAGCGUAGGCGGUGAUGCAAGUCAGAAGUGAAAGCCCGCAGCUCAACUGCGGGACUGCUUUUGAAACUGUAUGACUAGAUUGCAGGAGAGGUAAGUGGAAUUCCUAGUGUAGCGGUGAAAUGCGUAGAUAUUAGGAGGAACACCAGUGGCGAAGGCGGCUUACUGGACUGUAAAUGACGCUGAGGCUCGAAAGCGUGGGGAGCAAACAGGAUUAGAUACCCUAGUA